UACACACACUGUGAAUCAUCGAAUCUUUGAACGCAGCUUGCACUUUUGGAGUGUAUCCAAAAGUAUACCUGUGUGAGUAUCAUAUGAUUUUCUUGUUCUUUUUCUGAAAGGAAAAAGACAAGGAUGUGGAGCUCAGCUCGUGCUGUUCUCUGGAAUGCAUUGGGUAUUCUGAAGAGAACGAACACACUGUGCGAGGAUGUUUGCCAUGGGCAAAAUAGUUGUACAAGUGAGCGCUAUCUUUAAGAAUACUAAUACUACUAAUACUAAUACUAAUACUACUAAUACUACUAAUACUACUAUUACUACUACUAUUACUACAAACAACAACAUUGAUCUCACAUCAGGCAAGACUACCCGCUGAACUUAAGCAUAUCAAUAAGCGGAGG
rnacentral:rRNA from 1 species